rnacentral:rRNA from 1 species
GACGAACGCUGGCGGCGUGCUUAACACAUGCAAGUCGAACGAGGAUAACGGCUUCGGCUGUUAUUCGAGUGGCGGACGGGUGAGUAACGCGUGAGCAAUCUGUCCUGCAAAGGGGGAUAACAUCUGGAAACAGAUGCUAAUACCGCAUAAGACCACGGCAUCGCAUGGUGCUGAGGUAAAAGGCUUCGGCCGAUGCAGGGUGAGCUCGCGUCCCAUUAGGCAGUUGGCGAGGUAACGGCUCACCAAACCUACGAUGGGUAGCCGACCUGAGAGGGUGAUCGGCCACAUUGGGACUGAGACACGGCCCAGACUCCUACGGGAGGCAGCAGUGGGGAAUAUUGGGCAAUGGGCGGAAGCCUGACCCAGCAACGCCGCGUGAGGGAAGAAGGUUUUCGGAUUGUAAACCUCUGUCCUGGCAGACGAAGGAAGUGACGGUAUGCCAGGAGGAAGCCCCGGCUAACUACGUGCCAGCAGCCGCGGUAAUACGUAGGGGGCGAGCGUUGUCCGGAAUGACUGGGCGUAAAGGGCGUGUAGGCGGCGAUUUAAGUUUGGAGUGAAAGUCCCGUUUUCAAGAUGGGAAUUGCUUUGGAUACUGGAUUGCUUGAGUACAGAAGAGGUAAGCGGAAUUCCCGGUGUAGCGGUGAAAUGCGUAGAGAUCGGGAGGAACACCAGUGGCGAAGGCGGCUUACUGGGCUGUAACUGACGCUGAGGCGCGAAAGCGUAGGGAGCGAACAGGAUUAGAUACCCUGGUAGUCCACGCGGUAAACGAUGAAUGCCAGGUGUAGGGGGUAUCGACCCCUCCUGUGCCGGAGUAAACACAAUAAGCAUUCCGCCUGGGGAGUACGGCCGCAAGGUUGAAACUCAAAGGAAUUGACGGGGGCCCGCACAAGCAGCGGAGCAUGUGGUUUAAUUCGACGCAACGCGAAGAACCUUACCAGGUCUUGACAUCCAAUUAAGCCUAUAGAGAUAUAGGGUCUCUUCGGAGGAAUUGAGACAGGUGGUGCAUGGUUGUCGUCAGCUCGUGUCGUGAGAUGUUGGGUUAAGUCCCGCAACGAGCGCAACCCUUAUUGUCAGUUACUAACGCGCGAUGGCGAGGACUCUGACGAGACUGCCGGGGACAACUCGGAGGAAGGUGGGGACGACGUCAAAUCAUCAUGCCCCUUAUGACCUGGGCUACACACGUGCUACAAUGGUGGUUACAAAGAGGGGCGAGCGCGCGAGCGUAAGCGGAUCUCAAAAAAGCCAUCUCAGUUCGGACUGUGGGCUGCAACCCGCCCACACGAAGUUGGAGUUGCUAGUAAUCGCGAAUCAGAAUGUCGCGGUGAAUACGUUCCCGGGCCUUGUACACACCGCCCGUCACACCAUGGGAGUUGGGAGCACCCGAAGUCAGUGAGCUAACGCAAGGAGCAGCUGCCGAAGGUGAGACUGAUGACUGGGGUG